GAGAUGCCCACUUUCCAUCCUUCGUGUCUGAAAUUCCUCACUGAACCAGAGGCAGAGAUUUCUUGCCUUGUACACCAUGGGUGACAUGCUGGGGAGUGGAGGCUUUGGCACAGUUUAUGAAGGAACUUGUAAGAAAGAUGGACAACAGAGACCACGCGGUGGACGCAGUUGGGGGUCCUGUCCAAGGAUCCCACAGAUGGAUACCACGUGGGCAUUUCUGCGUUCAGUGAGCGUCUUCAUCGCAAAUGAGUCACGUUCCUGUCUUGCGGAGUCAACAUCAUAAAACUAGGGACCGCAACGACCUGGAUUGCAACAACCUUGCCAUGUGUUUGGCAGGGCAUGAUAAGCAUGUCUGCCAAAAGCCCACAAUGUGCUUUUGGCACAAUUUCAGAUCAAUGCCCAAAUAUUCACUAACCUGCUUAAGGGCCGGGCUGACGAAAAGUGUAUCCUUGUCACUGGAGAUUUUAGUGGUAAUUCCCCACCUAGGAAUUAUGUCCCUAAGCAGUGUCUUUGCUACUGCGUCUGGGUACUGUUUGGACGUAGGGAAUGCUUCCACCCGUUUAGAGAACUAGGUUUGUCUGGAGUUGGGUGUGCGGCCUUCUCUACCUUCAAACCCAUGAUAUGAGUUGCGCAAACACCGUAAACAAAUUUUUUUUUUAAAAGAGUAAUUAGAGAAGCAUUUGGUAAACCAAUGCUUUGUUAUCACAGCUAUC